UACGUAGGUGACAAGCGUUGUCCGGAUUUACUGGGCGUAAAGAGCGCGCAGGCGGUCGUUCAAGUCGAGUGUGAAAGCCCCCGGCUCAACUGGGGAGGGUCACUCGAUACUGAUCGACUUGAAGGCAGGAGAGGGUAGUGGAAUUCCCGGUGUAGUGGUGAAAUGCGUAGAUAUCGGGAGGAACACCAGUGGCGAAGGCGACUACCUGGCCUGUUCUUGACGUUGAGGCGCGAACGCUAGGGGAGCAAACGGG
rnacentral:rRNA from 1 species